AUGUGUAAAGAGAUAUGGGCUAAAAACCAGAGGCGAGGGAGGGUGCUGAAUCACAACAGGUCUGCCGGCGUUUGGCACGGGUCAGAGACCCGCCCCAGGUCCACCACGAGGAGGCACCGGCACCAGACCCUUCCCCCCCCCCCAUCAUUUUCAUCUCGUUUUCAUUUCAUCUCGUUUUCAUUUCAUCUCAUUGUCAUCACCUUUUCAUCCCCUUUUCGUCCCCUUUUCAUCUCCUUUUCAUCUCUUUUUCAUUUCAUCUCCUUUUCACUCUUUCAUAACACUCAUCUUCAUCUUUCAUCAUCUCUUUUCAUCCUAUUCACAUCUCCUUUUCAUCUCUUUUUCCAUUUCAAUCUCUUUUUUCCAUCUCUUUUUCAUUUCCAUGUCUCCUUUUCAUUUCCUUUUCAUCUCCUCUCCUUUGCAUCUCCUCUCCUUUUCAUCUCCUUUUCAUAUCUUUUUUCAUUUCAUCCCCUUUUCAUCUCCAUUCAUCUUUUUUUUGUCUCUUUAUCAUUUCAUACCCUUUUCAUCUCAUUUUCCAUUUCAUACCCUUUUCAUCUACUUUUCGUCUCGUUAAUAAUUUCAUCCCGUUUUCAUCUCCUUUUCAUCUCCAUUCCAUCCCCGUUCACCUUUUUUAAUUUCACCUCCUUUUCACCUCUUUUUAAUUUCACCUCCUUUCACCUCUUUUUAAUUUCACCUCCUUUUCAUCUCAUUUCAUUUCACCUCCUUUACAUUUCACUCUCCUUCAUCUCUACUUCAUCUCUCCUUCAUCUCCUUCAUCUCUCCUUCAUCUCUCCUUCAUCCUCCUUCAUCCUCCUUCAUCUCUCCUUCAUCUCUCCUUCAUCUCUCCUUCAUCUCUCCUUCAUCUCUCCUUCAUCUCUCCUUCAUCUCUCCUCAUCUCUCCUUCAUCUCUCCUUCAUCUCUCCUUCAUCUCUCCUUCAUCUCUCCUUCAUCUCUCCUUCAUCUCUCCUUCAUCUCUCCUUCAUCUCUCCUUCAUCUCUCCUUCAUCUCUCCUUCAUCUCUCCUUCAUCUCUUCUUCAUCUCUUUUACAUUACACCUCCUUUUCAUCUCUAUUACAUUUCAUCCUCUCUUCUUUUCAUCCCCUCUUCUUUUCAUCCCCUCUAUACAUUUCAUCCCCUUUUCAUCCCCUUUUCAUCACCUUUUCAUCUCUUCUUACUUUCUUUUUCAUCUCUUCAUUCGUGUCUCAACGAUGGUAAUUACAUGAGAGUUAUUGACUACCACUUUACUUCGAAUUGUAAUUGUAAUUGUUCGAAUUGUAAAAUUAUGAGAAAACAGACCCCCUGCAGACUGCACUCUACAAGCAUUCAAUAGAGUCUGCACCCCCCCCCCCCCCGAAACCCUUUCUAAAUUACUACUGCAUUAAAAAAUAACGGGACACUCAGUAAUAAAACACCUCUGGUUUUCCGGAAUAGUGAAUGCUUAAUACAAAAUUAAUAAAAUUAAGAUGGAAUCAAUUUUGAAGCAGGCUGUGCUUCGAAAAGGUGAAAACGAAAAAUUAUUCCUUCUAUGAUGAAAAAGAAUAGCGAAAUCUGCCUUAUUCUGCCAAGAAACCCGCUUGAAAGUCCGGGACUCGUCUUCCAUCCGCAGAGGGAUAUCGGAAAGCCCGAAUCCAGGACGCUUCGUUCACAAGAUAAAAAUAUUUUGAUGAGAGACAAUGGACCUAUAUUUUAAAAUUACUACAUGUUUCUGAGACUACCAGAAAAGAUAAACUUAGUCUUUCGAGUGCGUAUGCACAGACUGACAGCGUAUAUCAAAUUAUAUUUGAAUGGACGCUACAAAAGCGAAUGCGAAAAACCAGCAUUUGCAGUUGCAGCAAGAUAAAGUAUAUUCCUCCGGAAAAAAUUGGUGUAACGGCAACAAGGGGCAAUCGUACAGUUUUGAAUGGACAAAUCAUCAAAAUAUUUGGUAAAAUUACCUAUAAUUAAAGGCAAUUUUGCAGUGGAGAGGAAGGAUACUGCAACAGCUCACUUUGAAAAUGGAGAGAAUAGGCAAAUGUUAGAGUUGUUCGCAAUUACUUCUGAGAGUAGGAAGGAGUUGUAAAGAUUUUACCGUGAUGAAGCGAUGAUCCGUUAUUCAGGAAAAGCUCUGAUGCAAAGCGAAAACUUUCCGUCUUCGUGCACAGCCUCGACGAAUGUUGGAGAGACCACCAAAUAUUGACUGCAAUAAAAGAAAGAAAUGAAUGCAUUAAUUAAUAAAUCCAAAAUAAAAUUAUCAUAAACAUAAUAUA
rnacentral:lncRNA from 1 species